rnacentral:misc_RNA from 1 species
GAUGAAGAACGUAGCGAAAUGCGAUAAGUAAUGUGAAUUGCAGAAUUCAGUGAAUCAUCGAAUCUUUGAACGCACAUUGCGCCCCUUGGUAUUCCGAGGGGCAUGCCUGUUCGAGCGUCAUUAUAACCCCUCAAGCUCGGCUUGGUGUUGGGGCCUGCAGCACGGGCAGCCCUUAAAAUCAGUGGCGGUGCCAUCUGGCUCUAAGCGUAGUAAUUCUUCUCGCUAUAGAGUCCCGGUGGAUGCUUGCCAUUAGCCCCCAAUUUCAAUGGUUGACCUCGGAUCAGGUAGGGAUACCCGCUGAACUUAAGCAUAUCAAUAAGCGGAGGA